rnacentral:rRNA from 1 species
GGCUCAGAACGAACGCUGGCGGCGUGUUCACACAUGCAAGUCGAACGAACCUUCGGGUUAGUGGCGGACGGGUGAGUAACGCGUGACAAUCUGCCCUCAGGAGGGGGAUAACGGUUGGAAACGACCGCUAAUACCCCAUAUGCCGAGAGGUGAAAAGAAAUUCGCCUGAGGAUGAGCUCGCGUCUGAUUAGCUAGUUGGUGUGGUAAUGGCGCACCAAGGCUUCGAUCAGUAGCUGGUCUGAGAGGAUGAUCAGCCACACUGGGACUGAGACACGGCCCAGACUCCUACGGGAGGCAGCAGUGGG